GAUGAACGCUGGCGGCGUGCCUAAUACAUGCAAGUCGAGCGAACGGACGAGAAGCUUGCUGCUCUGAUGUUAGCGGCGGACGGGUGAGUAACACGUGGAUAACCUACCUAUAAGACUGGGAUAACUUCGGGAAACCGGAGCUAAUACCAGAUAAUAUUUUGAACCGCAUGGUUCAAAAGUGAAAGACGGUCUUGCUGGCACUUAUAGAUGGAUCCGCGCUGCAUUAGCUAGUUGGUAAGGUAACGGCUUACCAAGGCAACGAUGCAUAGCCGACCUGAGAGGGUGAUCGGCCACACGGGAACUGAGACACGGUCCAGACUCCUACGGGAGGCAGCAGUAGGGAAUCUUCCGCAAUGGGCGAAAGCCUGACGGAGCAACGCCGCGUGAGUGAUGAAGGCCUUCGGAUCGUAAAACUCUGUUAUUAGGGAAGAACAUAUGUGUAAGUAACUGUGCACAUAUUGACGGUACCUAAUCAGAAGGCCACGGCUAACUACGUG
rnacentral:rRNA from 1 species